AGUGAACGCUGGCGGCAGGCCUAAUACAUGCAAGUCGAACGGCAGCACAGCAGAGCUUGCUCUGUGGGUGGCGAGUGGCGGACGGGUGAGGAAUACGUGGGAAUCUGCCCAGUCGUGGGGGAUAACGUAGGGAAACUUACGCUAAUACCGCAUGCGCCCUUCGGGGGAAAGCCGGGGACCUUCGGGCCUGGCGCGAUUGGAUGAGCCCACGUCGGAUUAGGUAGUUGGUGGGGUAAAGGCUUACCAAGCCUGCGAUCUGUAGCUGGUUUGAGAGAACGAUCAGCCACACUGGGACUGAGACACGGCCCAGACUCCUACGGGAGGCAGCAGUGGGGAAUCUUGCGCAAUGGGCGAAAGCCUGACGCAGCAACGCCGCGUGCGGGAUGACGGCCUUCGUGGUUGUAAACCGACUUUCAGCAGGGACGGAAAAUAGACGGUACCUGCAGAAGAAGCCCCGGCGUAACUACGUGCCAGCAGCCGCGGU
rnacentral:rRNA from 1 species